CGUCCUCGUGUUUCUCUGUUCGAUCUGAGCAGCUGCACCGCCACUUAUGAAGGGCGCUACUACGCGCCCGUCCAAUGGGCAGGCUCGGCGGUUAUGAUUAUGGAUGAGCGCGGAAUUUUCAGCAGGUAGAUGGAUUUUUCUGGAAACUCCAUCACCAGUGUGACCAGAGGCAGCCUGAGCCGGAGUUCUGGCAUCCAAAAGAAUUCUGAAUGACGGUGUGAUUGAAAUUCAUCUGAACUUAAGUGCAAGAUUUCCUCGUGUCUCCAGUCCUGCUGCCUUCCUGCUAUCAUCUCCGUUAUCAAAGGCUUGAUUCCACUCUGUUCUCUGACCACGAUUAUGGCAGUGUGAUUCAUGCAGUCCACUUUUAUCAGCCAACACUGAAACAUUUCAGCUCCCACAGGACAAAGCAGCGCUGAAAGGGAUCUUGUGAACCGCUGAGAAAGGCAGACAACUGAUGGCACUGAUGAGGAGCGCCAGAUGGUCCAAGUCUUCACAGAUGAACCGAAAAUGUGGGGUUCUAGCAAGACUCACAACUACCAGUGUUUACCAGCUCACAAAACAUAUGGUACAAUAUUCCACAGGUUUUUUUUGUCUUUUCUAGUAUUAUUUAAAAAAAAUGAUUUGAGGGUUUUUACUAUACAAAUAGAAGUGGCUGUAUGUGAGAAUUUGGCAGGAUGUUCUACUCAUAUAAAGACUUUUAUACUUCUUUCACUGUUCAAAUAUCUUUCUUUUUUGUAUAGUGGUUUCUAGGAAUUUUCUUCUGCAGAGUUAUAUGACAGAAUAUAAUUUGUGUGCAAUAAUAAGUUCUCAUUCUGCUAUCCUGCAAUAAAAAAAGCAGCAAAAGUUUUAAAAAUGUGGACUAUUACCCACUUCAUUAACCACUGCAAGUUCAUUAUUUUUAAGUAAUAUUCACAGCGACAAACAAACAUAAUUAUUAAAAAUAUAAAAAGUUUGCCAAAGUCAUGGAUAACUAUUUUACAGUCAAUUAGUAAACAGAAUUUACCUUACUUUAUCUAACAUUUUUGUUAACUACAUUGAUAUUUACUUAAAAAAUUAUUAUUACUAACAGAAUAAAGUACUCUUUGGUCAAGGGUGCAUCAUUAAAUAAGAGUUGACUUUGAUCUUUUUUAAGAAAUGAAUGGCUAUUACACAUUAAAGUUGAAAAAUAAAAAAACCUAAGGUACAGCGAGGAAAAUUAAAGUGCUUAAUUACUCUAAAAUGUUAGCUCCUUUGUGUUAUUGCCAAGUGGAGCCAAUUUGCACUGCUGGAAAUUACAGUUCUUUGUG